rnacentral:tRNA from 1 species
GCUGCUUUAGCUCAGUGGUAGAGCGCAUCCUUGGUAAGGAUGAGGUCCUGAGUUCAACUCUCAGAAGCAGCU